GUGGCCAUAUGUUAAUGGUAGACAAAUCGACUUCCAAUCGAAUAGUGUCGAUUCGAGUUCGACUGGCCAUA